rnacentral:rRNA from 1 species
GACGAACCGUGCGAACGUUGUUCGGAUUCACUGGGCUUAAAGGGCGCGUAGGCGGACUCGCAAGUCUGUGGUGAAAGCCCCAGCUCAACUGGGGAAGUGCCGUGGAUACUGCAAGUCUGGAGGAGGGUAGGGGCAUCUGGAACGCUGGGUGGAGCGGUGAAAUGCGUUGAUAUCCAGCGGAACUCCGGUGGCGAAGGCGGCAUCCUGGACCAAUUCUGACGCUGAGGAGCGAAAGCCAGGGGAGCAAACAGG